rnacentral:lncRNA from 1 species
UUGAGUACCUGACUUUAGAACCAAUUUCUGGAGAAAUUUCCUUAAAAAUGUGUAGAUGUUUUUGGACAUUAGUGUAAUAUAGACUAUGGAGAAGGUAAAUGAAUAGUUGUUGUCCAGAGAAAGUGGAAGGUUUGAAUUCAAAUUGGAGCCAAAAGUCAGCAAUUGAGCAGAUUUCGAGCUCCUUGCUAAAAUAAUCCUAAGUCUGGAAAACAGGAUGAGUAUCUAUUUUUGAAACCGAAUUCUGCCCAAUUUUUCAAGUAAGUGAGCAAAGGCAACUAGACAGCGGUGAAGUAUGAUCCUUGGACAUGUUUAAUAAGGUGUCGUUGCUCAGAGAUAGCGAAAGAAUCAAAUUUAAAUCAAAGCUCAAAGUCAGCACUCUAACUAUUUCGGCCAACUCUCGAAGCUGCAUAAAUUCUAAGUCUGGA